UGAGUUUAUGCAUUAAACAGUUUAUGGGUGUC
rnacentral:piRNA from 1 species